UGCUUAUUUAGACACCUGUAUAAGAACUUAUUCUAAUAUCUGCUCCUUUGUUAAAUAACUGAAAUAGUUUCAAAGUGCGGAAUUUUAUAUUUCUAUAUUGUAGAAGAGCAAGACUUUCCACGUCUGUUUGGAAUCUUUUUAAAGAAGACUUCAGUCAUUUCUCAUCAACUAUAUACAUGCCCUUUUAUGCUCUUUCCAGAUAUACGUAUAUGUUUUUUGCUACUUCCACAUGUAUGCUUUUCUUUCUCUUUCAACAUAUUCCUUAGCAAAGCACACACAAGAAAAGGCAUCAGGGAAACGAUCCAUCACAAGACCAAUUCGAAAUCAGUGUUCCUGAGAAUUUUUGGAGUCCAAUGGGUUAUGCCAGGAAGAAUAAAACAUGCUCUAUGCAGCUGGUAUGCAUUACCAUUUGCUAGCAAGCAUACUAUUGGAAUGCAGUUCCUACUUGUAUUCUCUGGAAUACUUGGCUAGAGAGAAACAAAUAAGUAUUUUAAUGAGACGACUGAAAUCUAGAUGCUGUAAGACAGUAAGAGUUUUUAUUUGUGGUGUAGGAAGAAUUUUAAAUCUGACAUAACCUCAUUGUUGGAUCUUUUGAAUUCCUUCGAUAUAUAUAGGCAAGACCUCUCUUCUGAUAUUCUCUUAUAAGUACCUUCUUAGUACUCAUUAACACAAUCUUUACUGUUUCAUCAUCAAAAGAAAAAAGAAGAGAAAACGGAUAAUUGACUUAAGAUAAGAAUAAGAUAGUGUCUAAUUAAUAGUCUGCACAGUUUGAUUGGGUUGUACAUGCUGACUAGCACUUUCUUUAUGUUGUUUCCUAUUAUUUAUUAAAAAAGAGGAUUAAAGCAAUGUAGCGAUUCAAAGCGAGGGUUUAUUGCUUUGUAGGUCAAGCCAUGCACUUCAGUUAAAUGACUUAAGUGAAUUAAACAAAAAACUGUCGGUUCUUUAAAGCUCAACUUUGAAGAGUUGGAAUAAAAUCGGUAAUCAUAUAUUGGUGAAUUCAUUUAUUUAUUGCGUUUUGAUUAUUAUAUUACUAAUGCAUCUAUGUUUGGUUUUAAUUUUCUGUAAUUGUGCACUUCACUUGAAAAAAGCAUGUGCUUCGCUUCCUGUUUUCGCUUCAAGCUCCACGGGACCUUGUCGCUUUUAUGUGCUUUUCGCUCUUUAAAAUACUUAUCUGUAGGAAUUGUUUUCUUGGGUGUGCAUGUUGAUUAAGUGAAAGUUUAAGUUUUCUGUUUAUCAACUUAAAAGAACGAACAUAAGACUUCCACAAUUUGUGAGUGUUUUUGGUAUAGAGUAGUCCAGAGUCUUUUCUUUCAUGGAUUAAUAUGGAGUAUUUCAGAUUGUUGAUUGUCGCCGCAUUAUGCGUGACUUAAGCUCGUGGACAGUGUAUUAUGUGUUAAAAUUGAAUAGAGUGUAAAUGUCCUAUAUCUAAGCACACGGACUAUGUAAAAACAAAAUUACUUCGUGUUCUGCGCUGUUAUAUCUCGAGCACAUGUUUAGCCUACAAUUGCCCUAAUUGGAUCGUGUAAUUUGCUUAUUCUAUAUUGGUGCUCAGUGGCGGAGUCAGAAAUUCUAACAAUGGGCCACAUAUGCCAUUUAAUCAUGUAUUUCUCUAAUGCUAAGAGGAUUGAAAUUCUAUAUUUGUAUAAACAAAUUGUUUUUACCCUAUUUAUGCAGUGUAGUUUUCUGGCAAGGGAGAAUUUAAUUGAAUCCCCUUGGUUGUGCUCGAAAAUGAUUGUUUUGAAAUGUAAUCUUUUUCUGAAACCAAAACACAAUUCAAACACUCAGGCACAUUAUCUCGUGUGUUCAUCGUUAGAAUCAUAAAAUUUGUAUUGCAUUUGGAGCCACAAAACAACAGUAAACACACAUAGUUAAAAGACUUAAAUUAUACAUACAACUCUAUUCUUCUUUGCAAAAAUAAGCAAAAUUAAAGAUAGGUGGGGAUGAAGUGGAGUACUAGACGUAAAACUAAAAGAAUGGACAUUACCAAUGUUAAGAGAAGAAAUUGCAAAAAGAUCAGGCCUUGAAACGAUCAACCUUAUAUGUGCUGGUAAAUUCUUGAUAGGGUGGCCGCUUGCUUACUUCUAAAGCAAACCAGACUGAAGACAGUAGAGAAAGACUUUUUCUUACGUUAUCCAGAAUGCGAUGCCCCAAGGCAAGAAAGUAGCAAUCGGCUUUCAAUCCUAUGAACAUGGUUGUUCUAUUUUACUCCUUACAGUCUAAAGUUCUUUGUUUUCCCAAUAAAUGAGAAACCUCCUAGGUAGUGGUGCACACUUCAAAAAAUGAUGGGUAUUGAGCUCGUCCCUUUAUCCUUCUCUACUUAAAUACUAGGGUGUGAUAGUUUUCAAAUUCACGUGUGCCUAAUCCACUCAUGACAAGCUGACACUUACCACUAGACCUAAGCUCUCGGGCUAAAGUUCUUUUUUCAGCCUCUUGUUCUGUCUUUGUUAGUAAUAUCAUUCCCAGUUCUGUACUUCUUAUUUUUUGUGUGUUUUGCUUCAAUUGCUUGCAAUUUUACAACCAAUCAAUUGCUUAACAGAGAUUUCACUAAUUAAAAGUGGCAAAAUAAUUCAUCUUUAACUUUGAGCAACCACUUGAGCAGUAAGUACUCAGUGACUGCUCUAUGAUGCCAAAAACCAUACAUAAAUCAGAAGAAAGCAAAUACUUUGGGGUGGUUUUAAUAUCCAGAGAGAAUGUUGCAGUGAGCUUUAAACAAUCAUGAGUUAACUAAGAGAAAUCAAAAGCUUUCUUUCAUCGAUCGACUAUUGCAACUCUGAAUCAUAUUGCAAAUUAUAUGUAUAAUAAACUCAUGUGUGGUGCAGCUUUUUGUGAAAGAACUGCAUGAACUGGAGUUGCACAGUUGCUGAUCAAACCGACUGUAAGAAGUGAUUGCAUAUAUUCUUAUGAUCUUUCAAUUAAGGGGUGGAAAAAUAACAAUUCCAUAUUCCGAAAAUGAAUUGGUUCUACAAUUAAGGGGUGGAAAAAUUAGUAUAUUUAAACUAGAACAUCACCUCAACUCAUAACAAUUCCAUAUUCCGAAAUGCAACAGAAAGAUUUACUUCUUGCUGAAUGUAAUUUAGUAUGAAGUUCAGUGGUCAUAUGAACAUGUUAACAUAACAAGUGAGCAAAUGCUAGCUAGAAGAAUUUAGUAGGUAACUUUUGUUUUACCCAAACCUUGGGUGUCAGGUUUUUAGUAUAAAUUUGGGCAAAGCUGUCAUAGUGCCAUGUAUGAUUUGAAUUGGAUAUGGGUAAUUGCCAAAACUUUGCUUCUAGAUUUUAUGAUGUCUGAGAAUUUUGCAAGCUAAAGAAGCCCACCUUUAUGAUUGAAUCACUGCUUAGUUGAUGAUACGAAAGGUAAUUCAUAUUUAGCCCAUUAACCUUCCUUUAUCAUUCAAUUCUUACAUAAUUCAGUUUUAAGAACAUGAUGACUGAUAUUUAAGUAGUUGACAAAGGUACCACUGAGGUACCAUGCCCACUUAUGUCAAAUGAAGUCCUGCUUUCUUGCAAAAUAUUCUGUUCUUGACCCCAUGAAGCUUUUCAACUUAUUUCUGUUAUCAUCUUUACUGGCAAAACUAUAUGUACUAACUUUGGCUUGCUGGCAAAUGAAGUGCUGAGUUUAUAUAUUGUAAUUUUUGUUCGUUUCAAAUCUCAAUCUUUUAAAGGUACAUAGUUGAUGUUCAUCCGAAUUGGAAAGUUAGAUGCUGCAAUGCUAAGAAAAUUAUCCUCUAUUUGAAAAAACACUAUAACAUCGUUUGGUGUCUUUAAUUGUGCUUUUCUCUUAUGCUAAAUAUUUCUUGGGAUAUUGGUGUUUCAUAAAGAUUUGCUUUGCAUGACUUAGUUUAAUCCUAGGUAAAAUAUUGACUCGAAUAACUAACGAAAACAAUUGCAAGAUUUUUUUCAAAUUUCAAAGGACACAUAGUGACCAACUGCUAAGUUAAUUGUUGAUCAAAUCGCUUGCGCCAACUAGGGCUUCUACCUCUCAAGGGUGCUAACUGUGUCAAGGUAUCAAUUAGACCGGCUACAGUUGACAAUGAUGAUGAUCGCUCCACAUAUAAUGUAGUUUAUGACGUAGGGCUUCUUGCUUCAUAUUCAAUUGAUAUCAUUGGAGAAACUACUCCUGCAUCAAUACUCAAUUUUGGUAUCAUUAAUAUUUUUUUUUUAAUUGUAGAAAUUAUUUUAUAACAGAAAUUGGGGAAGAAUGUCCAGCGAGUAUUGCGAAUCUUUACCUUAAAUGUGUUGGAUUUUUUUUUCAUUUUUGUAGUGAUUACUGUUUCCUCCUCUA